CAAUUUGUUCGUUGCCGUCGUCUCUCCCCAAACCCCCAACCUAGCCUCUGUUCCUAAACGCCUCCAACCCCCUUCACGAUGCCAUUGAGGAGCUCCAACGCCUUCAUCGCACCGAUGUUGCGCGUGGCUCGCAGCACCACCCACCCAGCUACCAUGCGAACAGAGAGUUAUGCGUCGCACACGCGAUUGGGAACUCUACCAGAGCCUCCGGUAUGCUCGCUACCUGCAUCAUCCAACCCAUCGAUAUGAUCAAGAUCUAUGAUUUGUUUGGCUCCGUUGAUGGAGGAGAGGGGGGCUUUGAAAUGGAGGAAGAACAAGGAUGUUGUUCUGUGGUUUGGGUUGUCUCUGUUUCUGCUUUUUCCUCUUGCUUCGUCACUGAACAGUGAAGGAAUUUGUCCAGCUUGAAUUUGGCGAAGAGAUUUCACCAGCCCUUGGAGAUCUGGGAAGCUUGGAAUCCAUAGACUUGCAGGGGAAUGAGCUAAGUAGCUAACUGGUCAAAUCCUGGAUGAGAUUGGCAACUGUGCUUCUCUUAUGUAUCUGAAUUUAUCUUACAAUAAUCCUUCUGGAGUUCUCGGUUUCAAAGCUUAAGAACCUUGAGGUUUUGAAUUUGAAGAACAAUCAGUUGACUGGUCCUAUCGCUACAACUCUUACCCAAAUUCCAAACCUUAGAACUCUGAUAUGGUAGGGUAUGGGACUAAAGAGUUAGAUCUUAAGGGAAAAAUUGUAGUCCCUGGAUUUAUUGAUUCCCAUGUGCAUCUGAUCUUUGGUGGACUGCAGAUGAUGCGUGUAGAACUACAUGGCAUAAACUCAAAAGAUGAAUUUGUGAAGAGGAUCAAAGAAGCUGUGAGAAAUGCAAAACAAGGUUCCUG